AGCUCCGGCGCCUAAGGAUGGGUCUGCGGCCUAUCAGGUAGUAGUGGGUGUAGCGUACCUACUAGCCUACGACGGGUACGGGUUGUGAGAGCAAGAGCCCGGAGAUGGAUUCUGAGACACGAAUCCAGGCCCUACGGGGUGCAGCAGGCGCGAAAACUUUACAAUGCUGGCAACAGCGAUAAGGGAACCUCGAGUGCCAGGUUACAAAUCUGGCUGUCGAGAUGCCUAAAAAGCAUUUCAUAGCAAGGGCCGGGCAAGACCGGUGCCAGCCGCCGCGGUAACACCGGCGGCUCGAGUGGUAACCGUUAUUAUUGGGUCUAAAGGGUCUGUAGCCGGCCGGAUAAGUCUCUUGAGAAAUCUGGCAGCUUAACUGUCAGGCUUUCAGGGGAUACUGUCUGGCUCGAGGCCGGGAGAGGUGAGAGGUACUUCAGGGGUAGGGGUGAAAUCUUGUAAUCCUUGAAGGACCACCAGUGGCGAAGGCGUCUCACCAGAACGGACCUGACGGCAAGGGACGAAAGCUAGGGGCACGAACCGGAUUAGAUACCCGGGUAGUCCUAGCCGUAAACGAUACUCGCUAGGUGUCGGCCACGGUGCGACCGUUGUCGGUGCCGUAGGGAAGCCGUGAAGCGAGC
rnacentral:rRNA from 1 species